CGGAGGGUGCGAGCGUUGUCCGGAAUCACUGGGCGUAAAGGGCGCGUAGGCGGCCUGAUAAGUAGGGGGUGAAAUCCUGCGGCUUAACCGCAGGGCUGCCUUCUAAACUGUCAGGCUAGAGCACAGUAGAGGCAGGUGGAAUUCCCGGUGUAGCGGUGGAAUGCGUAGAGAUCGGGAAGAACAUCAGUGGCGAAGGCGGCCUGCUGGGCUGUUGCUGACGCUGAGGCGCGACAGCGUGGGGAGACAAACAGGAUUAGACUACCCUGGUAGUCCACGACCGUAAACGAGUGGGCACUAGGCAUCGGGGGGAGCGACCCUCCCGGUGCCGUCGCUAACGCAGUAAGUGCCCCGCCUGGGGAGUACGGCCGCAAGGCUG
rnacentral:rRNA from 1 species